AUACUUACCUGGCAGGGCAGAUGCCAUGAUCACGAAGGUGGUUUUCCCAGGGCGAGGCUUAUCCAUUGCACUCCAGAUGUGCUGAUCCCUGCAAUUUCCCCAAAUGUGGGAAACUCAACUGCAUAAUUUGUAGGAGUGGGGGACUGCAUUCGCGCUCUCCCCUG
rnacentral:snRNA from 1 species